rnacentral:rRNA from 1 species
GAUGAACGCUAGCGGCACGCUUCAUACAUGCAAGUCGAGGGGCAGCAUAAAGUACUUGUACUUUGAUGGCGACCGGCGAACGGGUGCGUAACGUGUAUGCAACUUACCUUUUACUAGAGAAUAGCCAAGAGAAAUUUUGAUUAAUGCUCUAUACUCUUUUUAACUCACAUGAGUUUUUAAGAAAAGCUCCGGCGGUAAAAGAUGGGCAUGCGUCCUAUUAGCUUGUAGGUGAGGUAACGGCUCACCUAAGCUCCGAUAGGUAGGGGUCCUGAGAGGGAGAUCCCCCACACUGGUACUGAGACACGGACCAGACUUCUACGGAAGGCAGCAGUAAGGAAUAUUGGACAAUGGAGGCAACUCUGAUCCAGCCAUGCCGCGUGAAGGAAGAAGGCCCUAUGGGUCGUAAACUUCUUUUAUACAGGAAGAAAUCUUUCCACGUGUGGAAAGUUGACGGUACUGUAAGAAUAAGGAUCGGCUAACUCCGUGCCAGCAGCCGCGGUAAUACGGAGGAUCCAAGCGUUAUCCGGAAUUAUUGGGUUUAAAGGGUCCGCAGGCUGUUUGUUAAGUUAGAGGUGAAAUCCUACCGCUCAACGGUAGAACUGCCUUUAAAACUGGCAAACUUGAGUUAUUGUGAAGUAAUUAGAAUGUGUAGUGUAGCGGUGAAAUGCAUAGAUAUUACACAGAAUACCGAUUGCGAAAGCAGAUUACUAACAAUUAACUGACGCUGAGGGACGAAAGCGUGGGUAGCGAACAGGAUUAGAUACCCUGGUAGUCCACGCCGUAAACGAUGGUCACUAGCUGUUUGAUGUACAUUGGUACAUUUGAGUGGCUAAGCGAAAGUGAUAAGUGACCCACCUGGGAAGUACGCUCGCAAGAGUG